UACCCCUACGGGAGGCAGCAGUGGGGGAUAUUGCACAAUGGGGGAAACCCUGAUGCAGCGACGCCGCGUGGGUGAAGAAGCGCCUCGGCGCGUAAAGCCCUGUCAGCAGGGAAGAAAAUGACGGUACCUGAAGAAGAAGCCCCGGCUAACUACGUGCCAGCAGCCGCGGUACUACGUAGGGGGCAAGCGUUAUCCGGAUUUACUGGGUGUAAAGGGGGCGCAGACGGCGAUGCAAGGCAGGAGUGAAAG
rnacentral:rRNA from 1 species